rnacentral:rRNA from 1 species
UGGCGGAGCUACCAUGCAAGUCGAGCGGUAGCACAGAGAGCUUGCUCUCGGGUGACGAGCGGCGGACGGGUGAGUAAUGUCUGGGAAACUGCCUGAUGGAGGGGGAUAACUACUGGAAACGGUAGCUAAUACCGCAUAACGUCGCAAGACCAAAGUGGGGGACCUUCGGGCCUCAUGCCAUCAGAUGUGCCCAGAUGGGAUUAGCUAGUAGGUGGGGUAACGGCUCACCUAGGCGACGAUCCCUAGCUGGUCUGAGAGGAUGACCAGCCACACUGGAACUGAGACACGGUCCAGACUCCUACGGGAGGCAGCAGUGGGGAAUAUUGCACAAUGGGCGCAAGCCUGAUGCAGCCAUGCCGCGUGUGUGAAGAAGGCCUUCGGGUUGUAAAGCACUUUCAGCGGGGAGGAAGGCGUUGAGGUUAAUAACCUUGGCGAUUGACGUUACCCGCAGAAGAAGCACCGGCUAACUCCGUGCCAGCAGCCGCGGUAAUACGGAGGGUGCAAGCGUUAAUCGGAAUUACUGGGCGUAAAGCGCACGCAGGCGGUCUGUCAAGUCGGAUGUGAAAUCCCCGGGCUCAACCUGGGAACUGCAUUCGAAACUGGCAGGCUAGAGUCUUGUAGAGGGGGGUAGAAUUCCAGGUGUAGCGGUGAAAUGCGUAGAGAUCUGGAGGAAUACCGGUGGCGAAGGCGGCCCCCUGGACAAAGACUGACGCUCAGGUGCGAAAGCGUGGGGAGCAAACAGGAUUAGAUACCCUGGUAGUCCACGCCGUAAACGAUGUCGAUUUGGAGGUUGUGCCCUUGAGGCGUGGCUUCCGGAGCUAACGCGUUAAAUCGACCGCCUGGGGAGUACGGCCGCAAGGUUAAAACUCAAAUGAAUUGACGGGGGCCCGCACAAGCGGUGGAGCAUGUGGUUUAAUUCGAUGCAACGCGAAGAACCUUACCUGGUCUUGACAUCCACAGAACUUUCCAGAGAUGGAUUGGUGCCUUCGGGAACUGUGAGACAGGUGCUGCAUGGCUGUCGUCAGCUCGUGUUGUGAAAUGUUGGGUUAAGUCCCGCAACGAGCGCAACCCUUAUCCUUUGUUGCCAGCGGUUCGGCCGGGAACUCAAAGGAGACUGCCAGUGAUAAACUGGAGGAAGGUGGGGAUGACGUCAAGUCAUCAUGGCCCUUACGACCAGGGCUACACACGUGCUACAAUGGCAUAUACAAAGAGAAGCGACCUCGCGAGAGCAAGCGGACCUCAUAAAGUAUGUCGUAGUCCGGAUUGGAGUCUGCAACUCGACUCCAUGAAGUCGGAAUCGCUAGUAAUCGUAGAUCAGAAUGCUACGGUGAAUACGUUCCCGGGCCUUGUACACACCGCCCGUCACACCAUGGGAGUGGGUUGCAAAAGAAGUAGGUAGCUUAACCUUCGGGAGGGCGCUACCACUUGAUU